rnacentral:rRNA from 1 species
AACGAACGCUGGCGGCAUGCCUAACACAUGCAAGUCGAACGAAGGCUUCGGCCUUAGUGGCGCACGGGUGCGUAACGCGUGGGAAUCUGCCCUUUGGUUCGGAAUAACAGCUGGAAACGGCUGCUAAUACCGGAUGAUGACGAAAGUCCAAAGAUUUAUCGCCAGAGGAUGAGCCCGCGUUGGAUUAGGUAGUUGGUGGGGUAAAGGCCUACCAAGCCGACGAUCCAUAGCUGGUCUGAGAGGAUGAUCAGCCACACUGGGACUGAGACACGGCCCAGACUCCUACGGGAGGCAGCAGUGGGGAAUAUUGGACAAUGGGCGCAAGCCUGAUCCAGCAAUGCUGCGUGAGUGAUGAAGGCCCUAGGGUUGUAAAGCUCUUUUACCCGGGAAGAUAAUGACUGUACCGGGAGAAUAAGCCCCGGCUAACUCCGUG